UAACAUUGAAAUUUCGAAUGGCCUUGAUAACCCAUGUGUUGCUGAGAACUUUCCAUCUGAGAACAUAACUUCACUCUCAAGAUGUAAAGUUGAAUCUUCUGCAAAAUUGGAGAGCUCUGAAUCAUCUAGCAAAGCAUCUGAUGACCGAGGUUUUAGGAAGAUUGAAAAGUGUAGCCAAAUUGCUUUGCGUAAUGUUGUUGAGAUUCACCUAGGUGAUGCAAAGCCAUUAGAUUCUACAAAAGUUGAUAUUGAGAAAGCACUGAAAGGAUUGGUUGUUCGAGAUAAAUCUUCCAUACCUGGUUCAUUUAUCGGUGCUUCUAGCAAUAAAAAUGAUCUACCUUCAGCUUAUGUAAGAAAAUUAUCUCCUGAAUUUCACAUAUCAGGACGUAGGGCUCCUUUAGA